GAGCUAGACUAAAAUUUGCACAAACACUACAACUUCGGGCUCUGAAGUCUGAGUACAAUUUCUGAACACCGGGGCUUCGUUGCAAGGAUCUGUCCCUGACCAAAGAUAUCUUAAAAGAUUUUGGAGACCCUAAGCACAGAGCUGAAUGGAGACGUUGACAGUUCCAGACAGACAACUGAUGGAUGUGCAGAGAGGCUACCUCAUGUGUGCAGUAAGUCAGACUCGUGCACAGGCUGUGAUCCUGAUACUUUGCAAGCCAGGCUGACGAUGAUCCAGAAAAGCAACAGGAUCAGGAUUUCACACACUACAAUCUGCAGAGCAUUUGAGGUCUUCUGAGCCAAUAAACAUGGGGUGAUAUCAAAAUGAAUAAUGCUGAGGUGGUUACUGGCAAAGCAUUAUGGAGAAUAUGCUUGUAUGACCUCGUUUAUAUGUAAAUCCUGCUCCAGUUCAUCAGGAUGUUAAGCAAUUUCAAAGCCAUACUACGCUGCCUUACUACCCACUUGAAGGAGUUUCUUCUAUUAUGCUGCUUUGAUUCCCGAUACAAGCCAGCCUGCUUCCUCUGACGAGAGGUGAGCGACGACCCCCACUACAUUUCAAGUCCCACCACACAGCCAAGCUGGCAAACAUUGCCUUUGAUAACGCGGCUGCUAACUCCUGCUGCCCCAGCUCUAAGACUGUCUUGGCAUCAGAGACCAAUUUUCCUGUACAUGGUCAGUAUUUCUUUACUGCAGAAAAUCUCGGUUGAGAUGGCAGAACAGGCAUGAAACAUUCAGAACUGGCACCCCCUUGGGCUGGCUUCUUUCUCCAGUUUGGAGCUGUCAGAGAGCUGAGAUGCCAUCUCGAAUAGCAAAAAUUAAGAGAGCCACAGAAAAGAGUCCUCACAAAGGACCUAAAAGUACAAUUGUUAGCUGUUUCAGGUAAAAAUAUCACACCUAGCAUGAUUAGCUGGGAUGGUCAGCCCAUAGGACCUCAUCCAAAGUUCUCUGGAGCCAAUAGGAAAACAAUGGUAGAACAAAACCCUACGGAGCUCUUCAUCAUUCAGUCACUGCAAACCUACUCAACCUCACCUCUACGACUCCCAUGCAAUAAGACACGCUAUUUCAUUUUGGCUAUCUAUUCAGAAGAUUACAAAGAUUAUCAUCUUUUUGACAGCAUCUCUUUACUUCUUUGAGCAACGUAACAGACUUGUGGCAGAAAAAUGAUCACCAUGUGCAAGCUGAGUUCUGUGGGCUUCAGAGAAAAGGGAAACCAUACAGCAAUAUUUGUUGGUCUAAAGAUUUUUUCUA